rnacentral:piRNA from 1 species
UGUAAGAAAGUGGAGUCGCGGAUGGUGAA